rnacentral:rRNA from 1 species
GACGAACCGUGCGAACGUUGUUCGGAAUCACUGGGCUUAAAGGGCGCGUAGGCGGGCCGGCCGGUCGGAGGUGAAAGCCCCCAGCUCAACUGGGGAAGCGCCCCCGAUACCGCCGGCCUCGAGGGAGGUAGGGGCGUGCGGAACUUCCGGUGGAGCGGUGAAAUGCGUAGAUAUCGUUUGGAACGCCAAUGGUGAAAACAGGUUGCUGGGAGUGUGCUGACGCUGAGACACGAAAGCCAGGGGAGCAAACGGG